rnacentral:rRNA from 1 species
GACGUAGGGCGCGAGCGUUGUCCGGAUUUAUUGGGCGUAAAGAGCUCGUAGGCGGCUUGUCGCGUCGUCCGUGAAAACUUGGGGCUCAACCCCAAGCUUGCGGUCGAUACGGGCAGGCUAGAGUUCGGUAGGGGGAGACUGGAAUUCCUGGUGUAGCGGUGAAAUGCGCAGAUAUCAGGAGGAACACCGGUGGCGAAGGCGGGUCUCUGGGCCGAUACUGACGCUGAGGAACGAAAGCGUGGGGAGCAAACGGG